AGUGAACGCUGGCGGUAGGCCUAACACAUGCAAGUCGAACGGCAGCACAGUAAGAGCUUGCUCUUACGGGUGGCGAGUGGCGGACGGGUGAGGAAUACAUCGGAAUCUACUUUUUCGGGGGGGAUAACGUAGGGAAACUUACGCUAAUACCGCAUACGACCUACGGGGGUAAGCAGGGGAUCGUCGGACCUUGCGCGAUUGAAUGAGCCGAUGUCGGAUUAGCUAGUUGGCGGGGUAAAGGCCCACCAAGGCGGGUAUCCGUAGCUGGUCUGAGAGGAUGAUCACCCACCCUGGAACGGAGCCACGGUCCAGACUCCUACGGGAGGCAGCAGUGGGGAAUAUUAGGCAAUGGUCGCGAGCCUGAUCCAGCCAUACCGCGUGGGUGAAGAAGGCGUUCGGGUUGUAAAGCCCUUUUGUUGGUAAAGAAAAGCAGCAGGUUAAUACCCCGCUGUUCUGACGGUACCCAGAGAAUAAGCACCGGCUAACUUCGUG
rnacentral:rRNA from 1 species